rnacentral:ncRNA from 2 species
CCUGAUAACCGUUCUCCGAGCCUGGAGUCUACCGCGGAUUGCGCGUUAAACCUUUGAGGUCUGGCAGACCUCAAAGGUCUGUGCCGCCCGCCACGACGUAGGGCCGCACCCUCCCCUGUGGAGGGGCCGCUGAUUUCGAUCGGCGGCGUGGGCCGGCGGGGAAACCCGCUGACCUCCCCGUGUUUGGAAAGGAGACGCGUCGCACAGCCU